UGGGGGAUAUUGCACAAUGGGCGAAAGCCUGAUGCAGCGACGCCACGUGGGGGAUGAAGGCCUUCGGGUUGUAAACUUCUUUUGCUCUGAACAAGGCAUGCUAAUGGGUGUGUUGAGUGUAGGGGUUGAUUAGCGCCGGCUAACUACGUGCCAGCAGCCGCGGUAAUACGUAGGGCGCGAGCGUUGUCCGGAAUUAUUGGGCGUAAAGGGCUUGUAGGUGGCUGGUUGCGUCUGUCGUGAAAGCUCAUGGCUUAACUGUGGGUUUGCGGUGGGUACGGGCUGGCUUGAGUGCAGUAGGGGAGGCUGGAAUUCCUGGUGUAGCGGUGGAAUGCGCAGAUAUCAGGAGGAAUACCGGUGGCGAAGGCGGGUCUCUGGGCUGUUACUGACACUGAGGAGCGAAAGCAUGGGGAGCGAACAGG
rnacentral:rRNA from 1 species